AACGAACGCUGGCGGCAGGCUUAACACAUGCAAGUCGAGCGCCCCGCAAGGGGAGCGGCAGACGGGUGAGUAACGCGUGGGAAUCUACCCAUCUCUACGGAAUAACGCAUGGAAACGUGUGCUAAUACCGUAUACGUCCUUCGGGAGAAAGAUUUAUCGGAGAUGGAUGAGCCCGCGUUGGAUUAGCUAGUUGGUGGGGUAAAGGCCUACCAAGGCGACGAUCCAUAGCUGGUCUGAGAGGAUGAUCAGCCACACUGGGACUGAGACACGGCCCAGAAGCCUACGGGGGGCAGCGGUGGGGAAUAUUGGACAAUGGGCGCAAGCCUCAUCCAGCCAUGCCGCGGGAGUGAUGAAGGCCCUAGGGUUGUAAAGCUCUUUCACCGGUGAAGAUAAUGACGGUAACCGGAGAAGAAGCCCCGGCUAACUUCGUGCCAGCCGCCGCGGUAAUAC
rnacentral:rRNA from 1 species